rnacentral:piRNA from 1 species
GCCCAGGGUACCCACAGCAGUUCUGGU